rnacentral:rRNA from 1 species
CAGUGCCGCGGGAAAACGGAGGGUGCAAGCGUUAAUCGGAAUUACUGGGCGUAAAGCGCACGCAGGCGGUCUGACAAGUCAGAUGUGAAAUCCCCGGGCUUAACCUGGGAACUGCAUUUGAAACUGUCAGGCUGGAGUCUUGUAGAGGGGGGUAGAAUUCCAGGUGUAGCGGUGAAAUGCGUAGAGAUCUGGAGGAAUACCGGUGGCGAAGGCGGCCCCCUGGACAAAGACUGACGCUCAGGUGCGAAAGCGUGGGGAGCAAACAGGAUUAGAGACCCGAGUAGUCCCUGUCUCUUAUACA